rnacentral:rRNA from 1 species
GACAGAGGGGCAAGCGUUGCUCGGAAUCACUGGGCGUAAAGGGCGCGUAGGCGGGAUGGCAAGUCGGUCGUGAAAUCUCUCGGCUCAACCGAGAAACGUCGGCCGAUACUGCCGUUCUUGAGGGAUGCAGAGGAGACUGGAAUUCCCGGUGUAGCGGUGAAAUGUGUAGAGAUCGGGAGGAACACCGGUGGCGAAGGCGGGUCUCUGGGCAUUUCCUGACGCUGAGGCGCGAAAGCGUGGGGAGCAAACGGG